UCCUCGCUCAACAAUUCGCAGUCGAAGCUCACGUACAGACAGUCACAUGGCAGUCAUCAACACACAGCUUUGGGAGAAAGUCCCCGGACGCUUCAAUAGCACCUGCUGAAAAGCGCCGCCACAGAAGCACAUGCGGCCCACCUCGGCCGACCUCCAUCCCUCAUCACACCCUGCCUUGUUGCUUGCACUCCUUCUUCAAGGCUUGUCAGCUCGGACCAUACCAUGCUACGAGACCGGUACUUCGGUGCUGCCUUUCACGAGGAGACGAUGAUAUGAGUCUGCGCUCCUGGCGUGCUGAUCUCGCUGCUGGCUUGCUGACAUCCGGAGGAGACAUGUCAGGUACUAUGGUGAGCAAGUUGGACUCAAGGUUGGCGCAGAGGGCCAUUCGUCAAGAUCAAUAGUUAUGCGAAUGCCUGACUGAUCUCUCCGAACGCGCUUCACUCGACUUGCAAUCGGAGACGAAGUCAGGUUACUCGAUGGGGCUUAUUCUUGAUGCGAGG
rnacentral:RNase_MRP_RNA from 2 species